rnacentral:rRNA from 1 species
UACGUAGGGGGCAAGCGUUGUCCGGAUUUAUUGGGCGUAAAGAGCGUGUAGGCGGCCAUGCAGGUCCGUUGUGAAAACUCGAGGCUCAACCUCGAGACGCCGAUGGAAACCGCAUGGCUAGAGUCCGGAAGAGGAGAGUGGAAUUCCUGGUGUAGCGAUGAAAUGCGCAGAUAUCAGGAAGAACACCCGUGGCUAAGGCGGCUCUCUAGUACGGUACUGACGCUGAGACGCGAAAGCGUGGGGAGCGAACAGG